rnacentral:rRNA from 1 species
CUACGGGUUGCUCCAGUGGGGAAUAUUGGACAAUGGGGGAAACCCUGAUCCAGCAAUGCCGCGUGUGUGAAGAAGGCCUGCGGGUUGUAAAGCACUUUCGGUUGGGAGGACUGCUUCUAGCACUAAUAUUGUUGGAAGUUGACGUUACCUUCAGAAGAAGCACCGGCUAACUCCGUGCCAGCAGCCGCGGUAAUACGGAGGGUGCAAGCAUUAAUCGGAAUUACUGGGCGUAAAGCGCGCGUAGGCGGCUAGAUCAGUCGGGUGUGAAAGCCCCGGGCUUAACCUGGGAACUGCAUCCGAUACUGUCUAGCUUGAGUGCAGGAGAGGAGAGUGGAAUUCCACAUGUAGCGGUGACAUGCGUAGAUAUGUGGAGGAACACCAAUGGCGAAGGCAGCUCUCUGGCCUGAUACUGACGCUGAGGUGCGAAAGCGUGGGGAGCAAACAGGAUUAGAUACCCGAGUAGUC